CCUACGGGUGGCAGCAGUCGAGAAUUUUUCUCAAUGGGGGAAACCCUGAAGGAGCGACGCCGCGUGAAGGAUGAAGGUCUUCGGAUUGUAAACUUCUGUCAUUAGGGAACAAGUGCCGGCACGUAACUGCUGCCGGCUUGAUAGUACCUGAAGAGGAAGAGACGGCUAACUCUGUGCCAGCAGCCGCGGUAAUACAGAGGUCUCAAGCGUUGUUCGGAUUCAUUGGGCGUAAAGGGUGCGUAGGUGGUGCCGUAAGUCAGGUGUGAAAUCUCGGGGCUUA
rnacentral:rRNA from 1 species